AGAGUUUGAUCCUGGCUCAGGACGAACGCUGGCGGCGUGCUUAACACAUGCAAGUCGAACGGAAAGGCCCUUCGGGGUACUCGAGUGGCGAACGGGUGAGUAACACGUGGGUGAUCUGCCCUGCACUUUGGGAUAAGCCUGGGAAACUGGGUCUAAUACCGAAUAGGACCGCGCGCUUCAUGGUGUGUGGUGGAAAGCUUUUGCGGUGUGGGAUGGGCCCGCGGCCUAUCAGCUUGUUGGUGGGGUAAUGGCCUACCAAGGCGACGACGGGUAGCCGGCCUGAGAGGGUGACCGGCCACACUGGGACUGAGAUACGGCCCAGACUCCUACGGGAGGCAGCAGUGGGGAAUAUUGCACAAUGGGCGCAAGCCUGAUGCAGCGACGCCGCGUGAGGGAUGACGGCCUUCGGGUUGUAAACCUCUUUCACCAGGGACGAAGCGCAAGUGACGGUACCUGGAGAAGAAGCACCGGCCAACUACGUGCCAGCAGCCGCGGUAAUACGUAGGGUGCGAGCGUUGUCCGGAAUUACUGGGCGUAAAGAGCUCGUAGGUGGUUUGUCGCGUUGUUCGUGAAAACUCACAGCUUAACUGUGGGCGUGCGGGCGAUACGGGCAGACUAGAGUACUGCAGGGGAGACUGGAAUUCCUGGUGUAGCGGUGGAAUGCGCAGAUAUCAGGAGGAACACCGGUGGCGAAGGCGGGUCUCUGGGCAGUAACUGACGCUGAGGAGCGAAAGCGUGGGGAGCGAACAGGAUUAGAUACCCUGGUAGUCC
rnacentral:rRNA from 1 species